CCUACGGGUGGCAGCAGUGAGGAAUAUUGGUCAAUGGACGAGAGUCUGAACCAGCCAAGUAGCGUGAAGGAUGACUGCCCUAUGGGUUGUAAACUUCUUUUAUAUGGGAAUAAAACGUUCCACGUGUGGGAUUUUGUAUGUACCAUAUGAAUAAGGAUCGGCUAACUCCGUGCCAGCAGCCGCGGUAAUACGGAGGAUCCGAGCGUUAUCCGGAUUUAUUGGGUUUAAAGGGAGCGUAGGUGGAUUGUUAAGUCAGUUGUGAAAGUUUGCGGCUCAACCGUAAAAUUGCAGUUGAAACUGGCAGUCUUGAGUACAGUAGAGGUGGGCGGAAUUCGUGGUGUAGCGGUGAAAUGCUUAGAUAUCACGAAGAACUCCGAUUGCGAAGGCAGUUCACUGGACUGCAACUGACACUGAGGCUCGAAAGUGUGAGUAUCAAACAGGAUUAGAUACCCUAGUAGUC
rnacentral:rRNA from 1 species